AUGUGCGACAUAGAACCAGUUCUUGGGUCUGAUCUACCAUUCAUACGCCAGUUUUAUCAGUCGACCCAAAUAUCCCCCUUCAGUACGGGCUAGUUGUUUCUAGACACUGUCUCUCUAUCAUUGUGUGAUCUGGAAUGGUCCCAUGGUCUACAUCUCUAAGGCACCGACUUUCUUAAAGAAUGGAGACCCUGCCCUGUGAGAUGGGACGUCCCUGGAAUCUCAGGUGCUCAGGAGGCUGAAGCAGGAGAAUCGAAAAUUUGAACCCAGGCUGGGCAAGUUAGCAAAUUUGCCAGAUCCUGUCUCAAAAUAAAAAGAGCUGGGAAUGUAGCUCAGUGGUAGAGGUCCCAGGUACAAUCUCCACCUCUUCCCGCACUAAUAGAAGGUUCCUCGUUCUGAGUUUGCCUGAUGUGUCCUCACCAUUUGCUCCAGAUUUUGUAUUCUUGGCCAGAAUAUGGCCUAGAAUAACGUGAUGCCUGUCUCAGGCCGUCACAUCCUGGGAAGGAGUGGGCAUGAUGUGAAUUUGAUCACCUCGUUAAGGUAUUGUCUUAAUGCUCCACCAUAAAAUGACUUGUCUUCCCACUUGCAACUAGCAAGAGUUCAUGUGGGGGGAGGUGUUAAAGUAUGAUAAAUUUGGCCUAAACUGGUCCCUGUACUUGAGCAAUGAAGUUUGGCCCAAAGCAUCCUCUGUAUGCAGUGAAAUGUAUCCUAAGCAUAGCCAAGCAACUGCAGGUCAGCCAAUCACAGCAGUCAAGCUUCAGCCAAUCACAGGCUACCAACUGAUUGGACCAGUAAAUACAAGGCAGAUGCCCCAUGCAGCCAAUCAGGUUGUUUCUUCUGUCAUUUCCUUCUUCUGUCUAUAAAUACACCCCAGACAAGAGGCAGGAUGGGGCAUUCCAAACCAUCUUCUUUCUGGAAUGCCUUCUGUUCUUUUUGUGCGAAGUGAUAAAAUUGACUACUCAAGAGUAAUCUUUUUCUUUUCCUAGAAGAAACUUUAAGACAUAUAAAUAGUCUACAUUUCUAAAUUUAGCAACCACGGAUGGUUCUUGCUUGAUACAAUCUUUUAUCAUAAUGGUUACAAAAAGAUGGUUUUCGAACUCUAUCCUUCCUGCUUCUCAGUCAUCACUGGCCCUUGCAUGUGGUCUGUUGAAGAAAUAAGGUCAUUCGCCAGGGUCUGGAGUUUGCUGACUACAUCUUGAUUGCACUUUGGAGUUUGCAGAGCAUUUUCUGUUCCUGGCCUUUCUCUCCCAUUCAUGCUGGCUCCUUUGUCAGGAUCGGGAAGAGCCAGGGAUGGGCGUCCACCGCUGUCACCCACAGGCGAGGGACCCAGCAGCUCGGCGAUGUCACUGAGCCUUGGAGCUGAACGGUGCAAGGAAGCAGCGAGCAGCAUCCGGGAUGGCAGCAGCUGCUCUCUCUGCAAGUCCAUUAUCAUGCUGACCUGACACACUGUGCUCACUGCAGACUUGGGCUAACUUAAAUACAUCUAAAGCAGUAUUUUAUCUGCAAAUAGAUUCUCCUUGACACAGCUUAGUAGCUAGUAUUUCCUAAACUGGGAGCUCUCUGUUCUAGAUGGCUGAGUGGAAUACGAUUCCAGGUGGAGUGUCCCUAACCUGAAAACCUGAAAUACGAAAUGCCUCAAAAUCCAAAACCAUCUCAGUGCCAGCUUGACACUGCAACUGGAAAAUUCCUUGCCUGACUUCAUCUGAGUGGUUACAGUCAAAAUGCACAUGCUGGCCGGGCGGGAUGGUGCACGCCUGACAUCCCAGCACUCAAGGAGGCUGAGGCAGGGGGACUGUAAGUUCGAGUCCAGCCUGGGCAACUUAGUGAGACCUUGUUGCAAAAUAAAAGAUAGAAAAGGGAUGGGAUGUUGCUCAGUGUGAAGGCCCUGGGUUCAAUACUCAGUAUGACAGAAAAAAAAAAAGAAAGAAAAGGAAAAGAGCAGGUGCUCUAAAAGUACUAUAUAAAAUGACCUUCAGGCUGUGUUUAAGGGAAAAAUGAAUUUCACUUUUAGACUUGUGUCCCUGCCCAAAAUAUCUCACGCUGAGAAUG